GAAGGACACAAGGAAACUUCUUCUAGGGCCCCUGUGCUCACUCAGAGGUCUUUCUGGGAUGGGGCCCUGGGCUCCCAGUGGCAUAGGAGAUCCCACUCUCUGCUGGACGCUCCAUUUUAGAAAGGCACACCCAGGCAAGGAGGCAGGCCUAGGGCCACAGAGGGGACACCCCUGGAGGCCAGCCUCAGGGCACCAGAGGACAGAGCAGAAGAGAACAGGGAAGCAGAGGCUCCGCCCUAGGGGGAGGUCAUGCGGACACCAGGC
rnacentral:lncRNA from 1 species